AAAUUGAAGAGUUUGAUCAUGGCUCAGAUUGAACGCUGGCGGCAGGCCUAACACAUGCAAGUCGAGCGGUAACACAGGGAGCUUGCUCCUGGGUGACGAGCGGCGGACGGGUGAGUAAUGUCUGGGAAACUGCCUGAUGGAGGGGGAUAACUACUGGAAACGGUAGCUAAUACCGCAUAACGUCGCAAGACCAAAGAGGGGGACCUUCGGGCCUCUUGCCAUCAGAAGUGCCCAGAUGGGAUUAGCUAGUAGGUGGGGUAACGGCUCACCUAGGCGACGAUCCCUAGCUGGUCUGAGAGGAUGACCAGCCACACUGGAACUGAGACACGGUCCAGACUCCUACGGGAGGCAGCAGUGGGGAAUAUUGCACAAUGGGCGCAAGCCUGAUGCAGCCAUGCCGCGUGUAUGAAGAAGGCCUUCGGGUUGUAAAGUACUUUCAGCGGGGAGGAAGGCGAUAAGGUUAAUAACCUUG
rnacentral:rRNA from 1 species